UACAGAGGGUGCGAGCGUUAAUCGGAAUUACUGGGCGUAAAGCGCACGUAGGUGGCGACGUAAGUCGGGUGUGAAAGCCCCGGGCUCAACCUGGGAAUUGCAUUCGAGACUGCAUUGCUGGAGUACGGAAGAGGAAGGCGGAAUUCCAGGUGUAGCGGUGAAAUGCGUAGAUAUCUGGAGGAACACCGGUGGCGAAGGCGGCAUCCUGGACCGGCAUUGACGCUCAUGCACGAAAGCGUGGGGAGCAAACGGG
rnacentral:rRNA from 1 species